rnacentral:rRNA from 1 species
GACGAACGCUGGCGGCGUGCCUAAUACAUGCAAGUAGAACGCUGAAGGAGGAGCUUGCUUCUCUGGAUGAGUUGCGAACGGGUGAGUAACGCGUAGGUAACCUGCCUGGUAGCGGGGGAUAACUAUUGGAAACGAUAGCUAAUACCGCAUAACAGUAGAUAUCGCAUGAUAUCUACUUGAAAGGUGCAAUUGCAUCACUACCAGAUGGACCUGCGUUGUAUUAGCUAGUUGGUGAGGUAACGGCUCACCAAGGCGACGAUACAUAGCCGACCUGAGAGGGUGAUCGGCCACACUGGGACUGAGACACGGCCCAGACUCCUACGGGAGGCAGCAGUAGGGAAUCUUCGGCAAUGGACGGAAGUCUGACCGAGCAACGCCGCGUGAGUGAAGAAGGUUGUCGGAUCGUAAAGCUCUGUUGUAAGAGAAGAACGAGUGUGAGAGUGGAAAGUUCACACUGUGACGGUAUCUUACCAGAAAGGGACGGCUAACUACGUG